rnacentral:rRNA from 1 species
CGUGGGCAACCUGCCCUGCAGACUGGGAUAACUCCGGGAAACCGGAGCUAAUACCGGGUAAUACAUCGCACCGCAUGGUGCAAUGUUGAAAGUUGGCUUUCGAGCUAACACUGCAGGAUGGGCCCGCGGCGCAUUAGCUAGUUGGUAAGGUAAUGGCUUACCAAGGCGACGAUGCGUAGCCGACCUGAGAGGGUGAUCGGCCACACUGGGACUGAGACACGGCCCAGACUCCUACGGGAGGCAGCAGUAGGGAAUCUUCCGCAAUGGACGAAAGUCUGACGGAGCAACGCCGCGUGAGUGACGAAGGCCUUCGGGUCGUAAAGCUCUGUUGUUAGGGAAGAACAAGUACCGUUCGAAUAGGGCGGUACCUUGACGGUACCUAACCAGAAAGCCACGGCUAACUACGUGCCAGCAGCCGCGGUAAUACGUAGGUGGCAAGCGUUGUCCGGAAUUAUUGGGCGUAAAGCGCGCGCAGGCGGUCUUUUAAGUCUGAUGUGAAAGCCCACGGCUCAACCGUGGAGGGUCAUUGGAAACUGGAGGACUUGAGUACAGAAGAGGAGAGUGGAAUUCCACGUGUAGCGGUGAAAUGCGUAGAUAUGUGGAGGAACACCAGUGGCGAAGGCGGCUCUCUGGUCUGUAAC